rnacentral:rRNA from 1 species
ACAAGCGGUGGAGCAUGUGGUUAAUUCGAUGCAACGCGAAGAACCUUACCUGGGCUUGACAUCCCGGGAAUCCCCUGGAAACAGGGGAGUGCCCUUCGGGGAACCCGGUGACAGGUGCUGCAUGGCUGUCGUCAGUUCGUGCCGUGAGGUGUUUGGUUAAGUCCAGCAACGAACGCAACCCCUGUGUCCAGUUGCCAGCGCGCAAAGGCGGGAACUCUGGACAGACUGCCCGUUCACACGGGAGGAAGGUGGGGAUGACGUCAAGUCAGUAUGGCCCUUACAUCCGGGGCUGCACACGUGCUACAAUGGCCGGCACAAAGGGAAGCUUGACCGCGAGGUUUGGCCAACCCCAAAACCGGCCCAGUUCAGAUUGGGGUCUGCAACCCGACCCCAUGAAGUCGGAUUUGCUAGUAACGGCGCAUCAGCUACGGCGCCGUGAAUACGUUCCCGGGCCUU